rnacentral:lncRNA from 1 species
AAAGAGAAAAAGCAGGACAAAAGAAGCACCACUUUGGAAGCUCAAAGCCGCACUGGAAACACAGUCUUUCAGGAUGUCUGAAAGGGGCAAGUCUGUUUGUGUGGGGUAAGAAAUGCGGGGAGACAAACGGACAGUGGACAGAUUGCAGAGAGCUCUGUGUGCUGAGAGGAGGGUGCAGACCAGAUUUUUAAAUUGAGAAUGCAACAGUGAAGGAUUUCAAGCUUGGAGUGAGAGGGGAGACUACGAGCCUGCAGUGAUAAGGCAAAGCUGAAGAUUUCAGAGCCAAGGCCACACCCUACAGUUGCCAUGGAAUGGGGUGGCACAGUGGGCUUUGGAGAUAUACAGGGAGUCCACGGAGCCUCCCCUGCAAGCAUCAGUACAGAAGUCGAUGAUAAUCUGGAUGCAAGCCCAGGAGUGUGGAGUCCACUGACUCAGAAGACCUGCAUCUAAGGAAUUGGCUGUUCUUAUCCUUAAGAAUGAUGACUGUGUUUCCAAUUCCAGUAGACCCUUUGAUGCGUUCUGAAUAAAUAUUCCUUUUGGAAUUGAACUUCUAGAGCCCUUAACUUUGGCCCACUCUAGUUUUCUGUCUGUUUUUUUUUUAAAUAUUUUUUUUGUAAAGAUAAGGUCUUGCUUUGUUGCCCAGGCUGGUCUUGAAUUCCUGGACUCAAGCAAUCCACCUGCCUUGGCCUCCCAAAGUGCUGGGAUUAUAGGUGUGAACCAUUGUGUCCGAUCGCUCUCUGGUUUUUCUAAUAUCAUGAUCCCAACUCUGUUCUUUAUGUAAAUUUCCCUGAUCACAUGGUUGCAUCUUGGCAUUUCAAAAUCCUUAACAGACUUUGUUUUGUUUGAAUUUUACAAUGAACUUACAUGACUAGGCAUGGUCCCCAGUUCAGUUUUAUAGACAAGGAUUCUGUAGGUCAAGAAGUGAAACACAACCAAUAACAGCAGGUGACAGGAUUUAAACCUGGGUCACUUUACUUAUUUUUUUCUACUCUAUCAUUAUGUGAAUCUAUCCUACCUCUGCAAUGACAGAUGGCCCUAGAGCAAGAACACUUCCUUACAUCUGGUAUACAGUCAAAAAGUAAAAAUUCCACACAAAUAAAUAUGGAAAGAAUUUUUACCUGCUCCUAUAGCUUCCUUUCAGGGACCUGGAACCCACAAAUGUUGGGUAACAGAAAGAGGACUUAUGUAACUUAACUCAAAGCAGAAAAGUUACAGAGACUGUCUUAGCAUAAUAGAACAUGGAGUGGUCAUGCUUGGAUGUGCAAACUGUCUGAUAGCCUUGCACAUGGCUUGACCCCGAAUUACACUAGUGGGGCAAGUUGCCUGGGGCAAAGCAAAC